CGGGCGACGGUCCGUCGAGGGAGAUGUUGGUCGUUUCCCAGGCGAUCCAGUCGCGGGCGGCGCGGCGGCGAUCGUCCGCGUCGUCGCCCGC
rnacentral:tRNA from 1 species